UGGACCAGUGAUGACAACUGAUGGCAUAUGAGUCACUUACGGUGAAUGCUGUGUGUCUGGAAGUCUGAGGUCCAC